rnacentral:sRNA from 1 species
CGCCCGUCAAGUCACGAAAGUUGGUAACACCCGAAGCCGAUGGCCUAACCUUUUUGGAGGGAGUCGUCGAAGGUGGGACUGGCGAUUGGGACUAAGUCGUAACAAGGUAGCCGUACCGGAAGGUGCGGCUGGAUCACCUCCUUUCUAAGGAGCACAACAUUUUGGUUGGCCUAGUUUGUUCACGAGUGUUGGACACUGGGUUUGCUCAUGGGUGGAAUAUUGCAUUUAGUUUUUUGGCGUCGCGUUGUGGUGGCGUAGCGGAGCAUACUGUUGGGUUUUGGGGUAGCAAAUCGUUUGGUUUGUUUAUCCUGUUGUUUGCCUGGCGCGUGAUGAUGAAUGAUCGUUGGUGGUUGUUUUGAGUUGUGUGUGUGGGUUGUUGUUUGAGAACUGUAUAGUGGACGCGAGCAUCUUCUGGAAACUGUGAGCGAAUGAUUUUUAUUGUUUGUUUCGUGUUUUCAUGAUUUUGUAACAACUUAGAUUUUAUUCUUUGAUUAUUUGUGUGUUUUGUAAGUCAUUAAGGGCACACGGUGGAUGCCUUGGCAUCAGGAGCCGAUGAAGGACGUGUGAAUCUGCGAUAAGCCUCGGGGAGUCGAUAACAGGACGUUGAUUCGAGGAUUUCCGAAUGGGGAAACCUGGCUAGUAGUGAUAUUAGUUACCACCAGUUGAAUGUAUAGGCUGGUUGGGGGGAACGCGGGGAAGUGAAACAUCUCAGUACCUGCUGGAAGAGAAAAUAAAGUAAUGAUUCUGUGAGUAGUGGCGAGCGAAAGCGGAUGAGACUAAACCUGUGGUGUGUGAUAGCGGUUAGGCGUUGCAUCAUGGGGGUUGUGGGAGUUACCGUUGCAGUUCUAACUGGCUGCUGUUGUGAUGUUGUGUUGGAUAGGGGAACGUCUUGGGAUGGACGGCCGGAGAGGGUGAGAGUCCCGUACCUGAAAUUUGGCACGCCGCAUGUGUGACCACCCGAGUAGCACGGAGCUCGUGGAAUUUCGUGUGAAUCUGCCAGGACCACCUGGUAAGUCUAAAUACUUCCUGAUGACCGAUAGCGGAUCA